rnacentral:rRNA from 1 species
GACGAACGCUGGCGGCGUGCUUAACACAUGCAAGUCGAGCGGAAAGGCCCUUUUGGGGGUACUCGAGCGGCGAACGGGUGAGUAACACGUGAGUAAUCUGCCCUUCACUUUGGGAUAGCCACCGGAAACGGUGAUUAAUACCGGAUACGACGCACUCGGGCAUCCGAUGUGUGUGGAAACUUUUUGGGUGGGGGAUGUGCUCGCGGCCUAUCAGCCUGUUGGUGGGGUAAUGGCCUACCCAGGCUUUGACGGGUAGCCGGCCUGAGAGGGUGACCGGCCACACUGGGACUGAGACACGGCCCAGACUCCUACGGGAGGCAGCAGUGGGGAAUAUUGGACAAUGGGCGGAAGCCUGAUCCAGCAACGCCGCGUGAGGGAUGACGGCCUUCGGGUUGUAAACCUCUUUCAGCACCGACGAAGCGCAAGUGACGGUAGGUGCAGAAGAAGGACCGGCCAACUACGUGCCAGCAGCCGCCGUAAAAC